AUUGAACGCUGGCGGCAGGCCUAACACAUGCAAGUCGAGCGGAGCGGCGGACGGGUGAGUAAUGCCUAGGCAUCUGCCUGGUAGAGGGGGAUAAGGGACGGAAAAGGGCGCUAAUACCGCAUAGUAUCAGAUGAGCCUAGGUGGGAUUGGCUAGUUGGUGGGGUAAUGGCUUACCAAGGCGAGGAUCCGUAACUGGUCUGAGAGGAUGAUCGGUCACACUGGAACUGUGACACUGUCCCGCCCCCUACGGGGGGAAGCAGUGGGGAAUAUUGGACAAUGGGCGAAAUCCUGAUCCAGCCAUGCCGCGUGUGUGAAGAAGGUCUUCGGAUUGUAAAGCACUUUAAGUUGGGAGGCGUUACCAACAGAAUAAGCACCGGCUAACUUCGUGCCAGCAGCCGCGGUAAUUC
rnacentral:rRNA from 1 species